CUUGGCAACUGGCAUUCCAAUCUCUGGAGGAGUCACCAUUGACUGCUGUGUUCUUUCCUCAGCCUGUGUCAAAUGUAAGUCUCUGACCUGCCGCAGGCUGCAAAGUUCCACUAGGAGCUGGCUCAUUCCUGAUAAAUUGAUAUCCAGAGCAUUACCGCCUCACCUACCAUGGAGCAUGACCAGGGCUGGCACACCCAUGAGGCAAGGUGAGUCAACCACCUCAGGUGCCAGGAUCCACAGGGGGCAGCAUAUUCGGCAUCCAAGAAAUAUAUUACCUGCCACUGCUGCCGGGACCAAUUAUGUAGGUGACCAGCUGAGGAACCAGGUUUGAGAGGGUUACGUUUAUGCCACAAACCCCAGAAGGAAAUGUAGGAGAACGGUGGGAGGACAGUGACAAGAAACCUCAUGACCUCAUCCUUUCCGCCUCGUGGGGAUUGGUCGGCUCGUGUCUGGGAGAAGAGUUUAAAUUCCAGAGGUCUGCAGACGGAAAAGCAGCACAACAGGAGAAGGACGAUCACGCACCAUCUGAGUGAAUGAUCAGAGGAUUGCCUUGAGCUUCUCUCUACAAACCAGCAGACCUCUGCCUCAG